GCUGUACAGAGGGUUCUCCGGCCGUCGCUGGGCCCGUGGAGCAUGCCGGGAGCGGCGAGCGCGGCAGGCGCCCCAGCGGGGCAAGCGAGGCGACGCGUAGUCCGUGAGGCAUCCGUGGGCCUGUGCCAGUUGCAGAAGGCGUUGUUGAAAUGAGCCCAGAGCCCAGAGUCCAGCUCUCCUGGAAAUUCCUCCUAACGACUCGACCACUGAGUUCUAGACCCCGAGCGCCACAUUCCAUUUUGCACCCGGCGCUGCGAACUUAAGCCCAAGUGCCUCGGACCUCAGGCGAUUCUGUGCAGGCGCCGGUGUGAUGGGAGGUGGAGCGGAGGACCCCGGAUGGGUGGCCACCCCCUUCACAGGUGUCUGAGCCCUAGCCCAACUUGAAGUCAGGUCUCCAACCUGCUGGAGCAGCGAACACGCCGAAGCCCACCUUUUUAGCCUGAGAGGUGGAUUCGAGGAAUUACACUAUUAGAGUUGAACUAGAGAAUUAUUCUUUUAUGUCCUUAUGCUUUCCUGCAUCCUGACCCUAGCCAUAUUAUGGUACAAACAUUCAGAACAGACCUACUUGCAAGAAAUACCAGAAUGUUAAAUAUUUUUACUGCAAAAACCAUGCUGCUCAAGUCAUAGCCUUGUGAGUUGUGAAAUGAGGGCCAAAGGUGAAAGCCUCCGGUAUUGAGUUGGUUACAAUUACUCCAUAUAUUGAAGGAAAGUGAAGAGCACAGAUUUGACUGCGUUAAGAUGGCACCCUUAAUAAGGAAUAUGGCAUAUUUAUAAAAUAGUUGUUUUUUCUCUUUCCUUUGGUCUUCCUACCCUCUCUCCAAAACUGACCCAAUAUUUUCAAGUGAAAACGUGCAAAAUCAGUAAUUUUGAGUUUAAUUAGUACCCAAUUUUAUGGUGUACAAAAACAAAACUGUGAAACCAUUUAAGAGUUCCUGGUAUUGCUGAGACAAAAAUAGAGAAAUGAACAGCAAGCCUACAGAGAUUAUUGUUAAACCUACCUUUCUGUCUUUAUGGUUGUAAUUCUUUUCUUUCAAAACUUUUAAAAGUAAUAAAAACACUGUGUUCUUCCCUACCCCAGAGAAAAAAUUAGGCAAAAAUGACACACCUAUUGAGUAAAUUGUCAAGUUACAAAUAAAAUCUGCUUUGAUAUA